UGGGGAAUUUUGGACAAUGGGCGAAAGCCUGAUCCAGCAAUGCCGCGUGUGUGAAGAAGGCCUUCGGGUUGUAAAGCACUUUUGUCCGGAAAGAAAUCCUUGGCUCUAAUACAGUCGGGGGAUGACGGUACCGGAAGAAUAAGCACCGGCUAACUACGUGCCAGCAGCCGCGGUAAUACGUAGGGUGCAAGCGUUAAUCGGAAUUACUGGGCGUAAAGCGUGCGCAGGCGGUUUGCUAAGACCGAUGUGAAAUCCCCGGGCUCAUCCUAGGGCAACUGGCAAUUGGCUGCAUGCUGGCAGGCUAGAGUAUGGCAGAGGGGGUAGAAUUCCACGUGUAGCAGUGAAAUGCGUAGAGAUGUGGAGGAAUACCGAUGGCGAAGGCAGCCCCCUGGGCCAAUACUGACGCUCAUGCACGAAAGCGUGGGGAGCAAACAGGAUUAGAUACCCUGGUAGUCCACGCCCUAAACGAUGUCAACUAGUUGUUGGGGAUUCAUUUCCUUAGUAACGUAGCUAACGCGUGAAGUUGACCGCCUGGGGAGUACGGUCGCAAGAUUAAAACUUAAAUGAAUUGACGGGGUCAUAGCUGUUUCCU
rnacentral:rRNA from 1 species